rnacentral:rRNA from 1 species
UACGUAGGGUGCAAGCGUUGUCCGGAAUUAUUGGGCGUAAAGAGCUCGUAGGCGGUUUGUCGCGUCUGCUGUGAAAACUCGGGGCUUAACUCCGGGCCUGCAGUGGGUACGGGCAGACUAGAGUGCGGGAGAGGAGAGUGGAAUUCCCGGUGUAGCGGUGAAAUGCGCAGAUAUCGGGAAGAACACCCGUGGCGAAGGCGGCUCUCUGGAACGCAACUGACGCUGAGACGCGAAAGCGUGGGGAGCAAACAGG